GCCCCAAAUGUGACGUGCCGCAGGUUCUGUUGUCACUAAAUGGGAUAGAAAAUGUAAAUGGUUGAUUGUUAUCAAAAGCUGAAUACAUUUUAUCUCAUCUUAGGAAACUGGUGUGGGAUUUUAGUAUCUUCAAUAUUAUCAUAAAUGUUCCGUGGAGAGAUGCCAUAUCAGAGCAGCGUAACUCGACAAACAAUUUCAAUUGGUCAACUCAAAAAGUACACUAGAUGCAGAGGACAUUAGAAUUACAAAAGAGAUCUACAUUCAUAGCAAAAACAUCUCUUGAAGCAGCCUUUCAAUUCUUCUGAUAUUGAUGCCCACGACGAAGCCCAAAACCU